GGCUUUAACUGGCAGGUGAAAAUCUUCAAUCAUGAAGUUUUAAAGGGUGAGGCUUAGCAAUUUUAUUCCAGAUUAACUGUCUCCUGCAGUUUCCCCAAAUGUGAGAAAUUCAACUGCAUAAUUGUUGGUUGCCCAGAGUUGUGUACACAAGAUGGGC